GAAAGCCAAAAAAAUUCUUCAACUUAUUCAUAUAUAUGCCAAACAUUUACACAAUUUUCAGUUUUGCAUACUUAAACUCGUCUGCUAGUUCACAGGCAUCUAUAAAGCAUAUAAUAAGCUACUACUAGAAAUGCAUCAAGAGAAAGCAGCUCAUACUAGGAAGUGGUAAUCUUAAAUUGUUUCACAGUAAUAAGAUCUGUAGACCGCUAGUCACUCAACAACUAACAAGUUAUUUUCGGUUGGUCCCUCACCAACGGUAGGAUAUUCUGGAGACAGUUGCCACUCUCCAUCGACCAAGAACUUGAUCUCAUACCUUCCAGGUCUAAGCAUUAAUGUUGUCGUAAACCUGUUAAAAGAACCAUCAUACUCUGGUGAUAAGUGCUCUCCUAGACUCCAACCAUCAAAGGAUCCCAUUACUUGUACACUCUGCAAAAUGAUGAAGUUUCAUAUUACAGUAAACUGAACCUCUGAAAAUUUAUUUUGAGUAUUCUACAAAGUACAUUAAAAUAUUUGUACUGGAAUUUGGAUACAAGGAAAAAAAAUUUAUCUUUUCUCCCAUAAUAAUUAAAUAGAAAAUACAUCCUUUAUGGGUUCAUUUUUGAACCAUGUCAAAUCUAUCAUAUUUCAAGACUCAGCUAUAGCCAUUACACUCUGUUGAUCUCUUCCCAACAAGCAAUAGAAAGAUUUAUUAGGAUUCUAAUUCUUAAUAUUCUCGCAUUAACCACUCUUAAUCAAUCCAGAUGACUUGCAAUUUAUAACCCAAGAGGAUCAAUGACAGAUAAUGGUCCCUUUAUAUGAUCACUUGAGAAACAAGAGAAUAUUUCAAGAUAUCGAUAUACCAUAAAGACAUAGAAGCUUCUAGGGCUUCAGAAACUAAUUUUGAAUCAUUUAAUCUGAUAUACUUAAUUAUGCAAGAAGAAAGGGAACAAAGAUGCAAGUUAGAAGAGAAGCACCCCGGUGACUAGAACUAGGGCUUUCAGCCCAAGACUCUCAGAUAUCACAGGUUCAAACAUCAACAAUGAAUGGCUUUGUAGGAUUGAGAACUACCCUCCAUCAUCUAGCCAUGGCUUAAUGGACCUUCUAAUGAAAAAAAAAAUUGAAAUUUGAAAGAAAGAGAAAGAAACAAAGGUAUAUAAGCACAAAUCAUCAUGGCAUCAAUUUAACCUACGAUUUGGCCUCCAUGUCAUUGUCAUCGAAUUCGAAAAUUGUUGAGGGCCAGAGGAACAAUAUGAUAAAACGACCCAAAACCCUAAUAAUUUAUCAUAUAGAGACCCAUUCAUACCCUCCCAAGCCUUCAGACAAAUCACUCCUAAUAUUUUGCAAGCCAAUGCGAGUAAAUAAAUAAUUCUGAGGCUUAUGAAGGUAUAUUCUUGAUGCUUACCUCUGCCAUGCCACACCAGAAUAAGUGAACCUCCUUGGAUUGUGCAGCAUCAACAUCCUUUAUUUGUUCCUUCAAUCUUUCAUGGACAGCUUCACAGCAAACAAAAAAGAGGGGGAAUGAAAAAUUGUAAGGUAAAAAAAGAAAAAGGAAUGAGUUCAUUGAAACAAAUUAUCAAAUAAAUUUUUUAGAAAUGGUCCAUCAUGUCAAAAGAAAAAAGUAAGAUAAUUAUAAACCCAAACCAACAAAUUGAUAUAGAAAGGCAAGCAGGUCCAAUUUGCCAACUACCUCAGUAGUUUCUCUUUUUUCCUUUUUUUUUUUCAAUUGAAAAUUUCAUAAAGGGGAAGAGGGAAACGAAGAUUCGAAUGCUUGAACUUUCAUGUGAUGAGGCACACACUUGACCAUUGAACUACUAGCCCAGUAGUGAAUGCACAUCAUAACCCUGAACCCUUUAAUUCUAAUACAUCACAGAAUGCCAGAAGCUAGAGGGGGAAAUUAAUAGCAAAACUGAAAGAGAAAGGAAACAAAAGGUAGAGAACAGGAACUAGACUGGAUUAUGGAAUUUGGCUGUAUUUCUUGGCUUAAAAGAAUAUCAACAAAUUUAUGACAAAACUUUAGCACUAAAUAUGUAGGAAAGGAAGACAUCUAUCAACAUAAUAUUUGCAAGAGAAAAGCAUUCUAC
rnacentral:misc_RNA from 1 species